rnacentral:rRNA from 1 species
GACGGAGGGUGCAAGCGUUGUUCGGAAUUACUGGACGUAAAGCGCGGGCAGGUGGCCUUUUAAGUCCUUUGUGAAAUUCCGGAGCUCAACUCCGGACAUGCAUAGGAUACUGGAAUGCUAGAGACUGGUAGAGGCGAGCGGAAUUCCUGGUGUAGCGGUGGAAUGCGUAGAUAUCAGGAAGAACACCGGUGGCGAAGGCGGCUCGCUGGGCCAGUUCUGACACUCAUCCGCGAAAGCGUGGGGAGCAAACAGG